UUUAUCAUUGCCCCACAAGUUCUAAUCUUUUUCAGCAAUUUGUCUUCUUCACCUCAAAUCUAGCUUCUUCAUUUUAUUUAACAAUUUUUUUGCCUCAAGAGGAACUUCAUUUCUCAGAAAAAAGACCCAAAAAUCUCUUUAAUUUUCAUUAUGAUGAGUACUCAAGCUUUUGAAGUCUAAGAGACCAUGCCAAGAUUCUUCAAUUUCUUUCUCAUCUUUUUCACCAUAGUCAUUUGCUUUACAGUAGGCAACAUUGAAGCACAAACUGGUCAACUUCCUAAAGAUGAAGUGGAAGCUCUUCAAGAAAUAGCUGCUCAAUUGGGGAAAAAAGAUUGGGAUUUUAAGCUAAACCCUUGUGAUGGGAACUCAAAUUGGAGCACACCCAAAAGGAAAGAUAUGCCUUUGUAUAACAAUACCCUACAAUGCAAUUGCACUUUCCCUGAUAAUAUUUGUCAUGUGGAGAGCAUAUUUCUCAAAGGACAGGAUCUUCCAGGUGUCCUCCCUGCAUCUCUGGCAAAGUUACCAUAUCUGAAGAAAAUUGAUCUCAACCGCAACUACUUAAGUGGUACAAUUCCCCCUGAAUGGGCGUCUACCAAGUUGGAAUUCAUGGCUAUUUCUAAUAAUCGGUUAUCUGGGCCUGUCCCAGAGUACAUAGGAAAUAUGACCUCGCUUGUGAAAUUGAGUUUGGAGACUAACUUGUUUAAUGGAUCACUACCAGCAGAAGUAGGGAAUCUGGUCAAUUUACAGAUGCUCAAUCUCAAUGCUAAUAAUUUCACAGGAGAGUGGCCAGUGGAACUAAAUAAUCUUACGAAAAUGAUUGAACUUAGGAUAAGCAGUAACAGCUUUGUUGGGAAACUGCCCAACUUUGAGAGUUGGAAAAACCUCCAGAUGUUAGAGAUUGAAGGUUCUGGAUUUGAAGGACCAAUACCCCCAAGUAUUUCUGUUUUGACCAGUUUGACUGAACUACGAAUCAGUGACCUCAAUGGAGGUGCUUCGGAAUUUCCGCCACUUACAAACAUGACCAGCAUGACGAAAUUGGUUUUGAGAAGCUGUAAUAUACGUGGGAAUAUUCCUGAUUCCGUAGCUGAAAUGAUCGAAUUACGGUUUUUAGAUCUGAGUUUCAACAAGCUUGAAGGAGGAAUUGCAAAUCUCGAAGGCCUGACUAACAUGGAGGCCACGUAUCUGACUGGCAAUGCUUUUGUUGGGCGAAUUCCAGAUUGGCUUUUUAGUCGAGAUACCAGAAACGUGAUAGACCUUUCCUACAAUAAGUUUGACGAGAGCUCUGAACCAUCUACCUGCCGGGACAACCUAAACCUAUUCAGAAGUUUUAAGGCCGGGAAUUUUAUAGAGCGCGGGAAGUGCUUGUCAAAUAGUCCAUGUUCCGAGGACAAGUACUCAUUGCAUAUAAAUUGUGGUGGAGGAAAAGUUAAUAUUGGAGACACUACUUAUGAAGCAGAUGAAGACUCGUUAGGUGCUGCAAAAUUUGUUUACUGGAAAGGGAACUGGGGAACCAGCAGUACAGGACAUUUCUGGGAUCGCACCGUAUCAUUGAAUGACCACAAAGCGAAAAAUGUAUCUGCUAUCAAGGGAGAAGAAUCUCAACUUUACAUGACAGCUCACCUCUCCCCUUUAUCUUUGACUUACUUUGGACGUUGCUUAGCAAAUGGAAGCUACACUUUGACACUUCAUUUCGCAGAAAUAGUUUACAGAGACAACCAAUCUUUCCAAAGUCUUGGAAGACGAAUAUUUGAUGUAUACAUACAGGACGAAUUGAAGUUUAAAGAUUUUGAUAUUAAAAGACUAGCCGGAGGAGUUGAUAAAGCUUUUAAAGAAAAGUUCAAUGUUACAGUAAAAGAUAAAACUGUACAGGUGCGCUUCCAAUAUGCUGGGAAAGGAACUACAUCAAUCCCAACUAGAGGAAACUAUGGUCCUUUAGUAUCUGCCAUCUCUCUGGAAGCUAACUUCAAGCCCCCUCCUCCGCAGGAGACCUCUUCUAAUCAGAAAAAGAAGAUUCUAAUUGUAGCUGGAGCAGUGACGUCUUCUUUAGCUCUCAUUCUGAUGAUUUUCUUUGUUGCUUGGAGGAAAAGAAGAAACAGGAAAUUGAUGGAACAAGAAUUGAGAGGACUAGAUCUGCAGACUGGUAUAUUUACUUUCAGACAAAUUAAAGCUGCCACAAGUAACUUUGAUGCUGCAAAUAAGCUUGGUGAAGGUGGAUUUGGAUCUGUCUACAAGGGUACACUAGCAGAUGGUACUAUAAUUGCUGUCAAGCAGCUUUCAUCCAAGUCAAGACAAGGGAACCGUGAAUUUGUGAAUGAAAUAGGCAUGAUGUCAGGCUUACAUCACCCAAAUCUCGUCCGACUCUACGGAUGUUGUGUUGAACGGAACCAACUUUUACUAGUUUAUGAGUACAUGGAGAACAAUAACCUUUCCCAUGCUUUGUUUGGUCCUGAAGACUGUCAACUAAAACUGGACUGGCCAACUAGGCAAAAGAUCUGUGUUGGCAUAGCUAAAGGCUUGGCUUUCCUACAUGAAGAAUCACCUCUAAAGAUGAUUCAUAGAGACAUCAAAGGAACCAAUGUACUCCUUGACAAAGACCUAAAUCCAAAGAUCUCAGACUUUGGUCUGGCCAAACUUCAUGACGAGGAGAAAACACAUGUCACCACCAGGGUUGCUGGGACUAUAGGUUAUAUGGCCCCUGAAUAUGCACUCUGGGGUUAUUUAACACAUAAAGCAGAUUUAUACAGUUUUGGGGUGGUUGUAUUAGAACUCGUUGCUGGGAAGAACAACAUGAAAUAUCAUCCUGAUGAGAAUUAUGUCUGUCUUCUUGAUUGGGCCCUGGUUCUACAAAAAAAAGGAAAGUUUUUAGAGCUAGUGGACCCAAGGUUAGGUUCCAAUUACGACAAGAAGGAGGCAUUGAGGAUGGUUAAAGUGGCCUUACGAUGUACUAAUCCAUCUCCAGCACUAAGGCCAAAAAUGUCUACAGUAGUGAACAUGCUUGAAGGUCGUUUGGAUGUUGAUGAGUCUAGCUUCGAUUCAAGUGGCUACGAUGAUGAAUUUAAUUUUCAAGGAUUAAGAGACAAAUAUGAUGACCAUUCAGUCCUUCUUUCAACUGACACAAAGGAUACUGAUCACUCUUCUUCUACCUUCCCUUCUACGUCUACCUCUAAAUAUUACGACAUUUGUCAUUGCUUCUUUCUGGUUGCAGUACCAUUAUUUGAUGUCCUUGUCAACAUGUCUCACACACAUUCUCAGAAACUUUCCAAUCAUAUCUUGUUCUUACUCCUAGUUUGCGAAGCACAAAAUGGUCGCCUUCUUCCUGAAGAAGAAAAGAACGCUCUGAGAGAAAUAGGGGAGCAGUUAGGGAAAAAGGGCUGGGAUUUUGAUGUGAAUCCUUGUGAUGAGGGCACAAAUUGGACUACACCAGGAACUGACGAUUUGUCAGUGUAUGUCAGCAAUGUAACCUGCAAUUGCGUUACCCCUGAUGCUUCAUGUCAUGUACAAAGCAUAUUACUCAAAGGACAAGAUCUUGCUGGUGUUCUUCCUCCAUCCCUAGUGAAGUUACCCUAUCUCACCAAAAUUGAUCUCUCAUGCAACUAUUUGAGUGGUACAAUCCCCCCUGAAUGGGCAUCUAUGAAACUGGAAUAUAUGUCUCUUAUGCUGAAUCAACUAUCUGGACCAAUUCCAAAGUACUUAGGAAACAUGACUACACUAGUUUAUAUGAGAUUGGAAAGUAACAUGUUUAAUGGAACUGUUCCAAAAGAACUCGGAGACAUGGUUAAUCUACAGAUUCUGUAAGGCCUUCCGGACUAUCCUCACUUUAGAUGAAAUUUAUGUUUUUACAGUAUUUUGACAAGCUAGUUGCCUUUUGCUUGGUGCAGCAUUCUUAGUUUUAAUAAUCUCACAGGUACAUUGCCAGAGGAACUCAAUAAACUUACUAAUUUGAAAGAACUUAGGCUGAGAGGUAACAACUUCACUGGAAAACUUCCUAGCUUUGAGAGUUUUAAAACUCUUCAAAGAUUAGAGAUUCAAGCUGCUGGUUUUAAAGGACCUAUAGCUCCAAUCAUUUCUGUCUCGACUCAAAUGAUUGAAUUGAGAAUCACUGACUUGACUGGAAGUGCUUCAGAAUUUCCAUUGCUUAAGAAUAUGACAAGCCUAACUAGAUUGAUAUUGAGGAACUGUAAUAUAUCUGGGAAGAUUCCUCCUUACAUAGCUAAUAUGCCUAAAUUAAAACUUCUGUUAGUCUUCUGUCUACCUUCACUCCGAUGUUUGUUCUUUCUUUUCUUGUUAUACAUUUCGUUCUCCUUUCCCUUCGUAACUGUAUUUAACAGAAAUCGUGCAUGCCAUCAAUGCAGCCUUUCUUUAUUGUUGUCUUGCGAAUUCUGUUUAUUUAUAAUUCCGGGAGACAGACAAAGGGUUUACCUUGUUUGCAUCCUUUUCCUUGUUUCUAGUUUGAUUAUGGUUUUCCUGUGCUGCAGAGAUCUAAGUUUCAACAGGUUUGAAGGACGGAUCCCGAAUCUUGAGGGUCUGAAGAAGCUGGACUUCUUGUACCUGGUAGGAAAUAGACUUACUGGGCCAAUUCCAGAUUGGAUCAGAAGUCGAAAUGCCAAACACAUGAUAGACCUGUCUUACAACAACUUCAGUGAGAGCUCUGAGCCUACUUGUCAGGAAACCCUAAACUUGUUCAGAAGCUAUAAUGGAACAAAAAAUUCAGAACUUGGGAAAUGCGUGUCAAGUUGUUCAAAGAAAUGGUAUUCAGUGCACAUAAAUUGUGGUGGAGAGAGUGUGACAAUUGGGGACACCAUUUAUGAAGCAGAUAGAGAUUCAGCAGGUGCUGCAAAAUUUUCUUCCCCGAAAGAGAGCUGGGGAGCCAGCAAUAGUGGAUACUUCUGGGAUAAGUCUAUAACAGUAAAAGACUACCAGGCGAAUAAUAUAUCUGCCAUUAAGGGAAACGAUACUGAACUGUACACGACAGCUCGGCUCUCAGCUUCAUCUCUGACUUACUACGGACGCUGUUUAGCAAAUGGAAACUACACGGUGACACUGCACUUUGCAGAGAUUGUUAUAAGGGACAAUCGAUCUUUCCAAAGUCUUGGAAAACGGAUAUUUGAUGUCUAUAUUCAGGGUGAGAAGAAGCUCAAAGAUUUUGAUAUUAGAAAUGUAGCUGGGGGAGUUGAUAUAGCUUGGAAAAGAAAUUUUAUCGCAGUUGUAGAAGACAGCACUCUAGAAGUGCGCUUUCAGUAUGCUGGGAAAGGAACAGCUGCUCUCCCUAGAAGAGGAAGCUACGGCCCUUUAGUUUCUGCCAUCUCUUUUGAAGCUAAUUUCAAGCCCCCUCCUGAUCACAAAAAGAUGGUUCCCAUCAUAGCUGGAGCAGCGGUGUCCUCAUUAAUUCUCAUUUUCACAAUAUCAUUUGUUGCUUGGAAGAGACACAGAAACAAGAUAUCAAAGGAAGAAGAAUCAAGAGGACUAGAUUCAAUGACUGGUGUAUUUACCAUCAGACAAAUCAAAGCAGCCACAAAUAAUUUUGAUUCUGCAAAUAAAAUCGGGGAAGGUGGUUUUGGCUCUGUCUACAAGGGUACACUAUCGGAUGGUGCAGUUAUUGCUGUUAAGCAGCUUUCAUCCAAAUCAAAACAAGGGAAGCGUGAGUUUGUAAAUGAGAUAGGUAUGAUCUCUAGUUUACAGCACCCAAAUCUUGUACAACUAUAUGGAUGUUGUGCUGAACGGAAUCACCUGCUACUGGUGUAUGAGUACAUGGAGAACAAUAGCCUGGCUCGUGCUUUAUUUGGUCCAGAAGAAUAUCGGCUCAAAAUAGACUGGCCAACCAGGCAAAAUAUCUGCAUUGGGAUAGCAAAAGGCUUAUCUUUCCUACAUGAAGAAUCUUCAUUAAAAAUUGUUCACAGGGACAUCAAAGCAACGAACGUACUUCUUGACAAAAAACUAAACCCGAAAAUCUCCGACUUUGGUCUGGCCAGACUUGAUGACGAUGAUAAUAACACACAUAUUACCACUAGAGUUGCAGGAACCAUAGGAUAUAUGGCCCCUGAAUACGCACUAUGGGGCUACUUAACCUAUAAAGCAGAUGUUUACAGUUUUGGAGUUCUUGCAUUAGAGAUUGCUGCUGGGAAGAGCAAUAUGACAUAUCGCCCCGAUGAGAAAUUUGUCUGCCUCCAAGAUUGGGCCCUUGUUCUACAAAGGCAAGGAAAACUGAAGGAAGUAGUAGAUAAAACAUUGGGCAGUGAUUUGAACGAGGACGAGGCUCUAAGGAUGAUAAAUGUAGCUUUGCUAUGUACCAGUCCAUCUCCAGCACUUAGGCCAACCAUGUCUGCUGUAGUCAAAAUUCUUGAAAAUCAUCUUGACCUCCCUGAGUUUACCAUGGAAUCAAGAUUCUAUGAUGAUUAUGAUCAUCUCAACUUUCAAGGAUUAAGAGACAAGUAUGAAGAUACUACUCUCAGCUUGAAUGAAAGUCAACCACUUACACAUUCAUCCAAUAUUACAACAAGAGAUUGCUCUUACACUACCUCUACAUCAGCUUAAGUACACACUCUUUGCCUAAAUAUAUAUAUAUUAAUGAUCGUGAGACAAUAUUUUCUUGUUGGUUUAUCAAACAUAAGAUAUUUGUGUGCAACUAUUGUAAUUAUGAGGUGAAUUGUACUGCGCAUCCAUUGCCAACUAUAUACAACAUUUAGGGCUCGUGUGGAUGGGAAAUAAGUUAUCCGA